rnacentral:misc_RNA from 1 species
GCAAACUUGGUCAUUUAGAGGAAGUAAAAGUCGUAACAAGGUUUCCGUAGGUGAACCUGCGGAAGGAUCAUUAAUGAAUAAACUUGGUGGAUUGCAGCUGGCUCUCUAGAGAGUAUGUGCUCGUCUAUCAUCUUUAUCUUUCCACCUGUGCACACUUUGUAGAUCUGGAGAAAAUCUUUUCCGAUGAAAAUUCGGGUGUGAGGAGUUUUGCAGGCUUAUCACAAGUCAGCUCUCCUUGAGUAUCCAGGUCUAUGUUUUUCAUAUACACCAAAGAAAUGUUAUAGAAUGUUGGCAAUGGGUCUUUGUACCUAUAAUAAAGUUUAUACAACUUUCAGCAACGGAUCUCUUGGCUCUCGCAUCGAUGAAGAACGCAGC